AUUGAACGCUGGCGGCAUGCCUUACACAUGCAAGUCGAACGGUAACGCGGGGCAACCUGGCGACGAGUGGCGAACGGGUGAGUAAAGCAUCGGAACGUGCCCAGUAGUGGGGGAUAGCCCGGCGAAAGCCGGAUUAAUACCGCAUACGACCUACGGGUGAAAGGGGGGGAUCGCAAGACCUCUCGCUAUUGGAGCGGCCGAUGUCAGAUUAGGUAGUUGGUGGGGUAAAGGCCUACCAAGCCGACGAUCUGUAGCUGGUCUGAGAGGACGACCAGCCACACUGGGACUGAGACACGGCCCAGACUCCUACGGGAGGCAGCAGUGGGGAAUUUUGGACAAUGGGCGCAAGCCUGAUCCAGCCAUGCCGCGUGCGGGAAGAAGGCCUC
rnacentral:rRNA from 1 species